rnacentral:rRNA from 1 species
UAAUACGGAGGUUGCAAGCGUUGUUCGGAAUUACUGGGCGUAAAGGGGGCGCAGGCGGCUUGACCAGUCUGAAGUGAAAGCCCGGGGCUCAACUCCGGAAUGUCUUUGGAUACUGUCAAGCUUGAGUACGUGAGAGGAGAGUGGAAUUCCAGGUGUAGCGGUGAAAUGCGUAGAUAUCUGGAGGAACACCCGUGGCGAAAGCGGCUCUCUGGCACGUUACUGACGCUCAGGCCCGAAAGCGUGGGGAGCAAACGGG